GCCCAGAUGAACAUCAGUAGUCUGGUGUACGGGCUUCAAACCCGGAGCUGAUGAGAGUCAGAGUGGCUCGAUUCCUUUGGGCG
rnacentral:tRNA from 1 species